rnacentral:rRNA from 1 species
AGAGUUUGAUCAUGGCUCAGGACGAACGCUGGCGGCGUGCUUAACACAUGCAAGUCGAACGAGGCAGCAAUGCCGAGUGGCGGACGGGUGAGUAACACGUAGGUAACCUGCCCUGCAGUGGGGGAUACCCAGUCGAAAGACUGGCUAAUACCGCAUUCGCUCGUUAGUUGAAAUACUAACGAGGAAAGAUUUAUCGCUGUAGGAGGGGCCUGGGUCCGAUUAGCUAGUUGGUGAGGUAAUGGCUCACCAAGGCGACGAUCGGUAGCUGGUCUGAGAGGACGAUCAGCCACACUGGAACUGAGACACGGUCCAGACUCCUACGGGAGGCAGCAGUGGGGAAUUUUCCGCAAUGGGCGAAAGCCUGACGGAGCAACGCCGCGUGGAUGAUGAAGCCUUUCGGGGCGUAAAAUCCUUUCAGCAGGGACGAACAAAAUGACGGUACCUGCAGAAGAAGCAUCGGCUAACUACGUGCCAGCAGCCGCGGUAAUACGUAGGAUGCGAGCGUUGUCCGGAAUUAUUGGGCGUAAAGAGAACGUAGGUGGUUUCUUAAGUUUGGGCUUAAAGACUGGGGCUUAACCCCAGGACUGGCUCGAAAACUGGGAGACUAGAGGAUGUCAGAGGAAAGUGGAAUUCCGAGUGUAGCGGUGAAAUGCGUAGAUAUUCGGAGGAACACCAGUGGCGAAAGCGACUUUCUGGGACAUUCCUGACACUGAGGUUCGAAAGCUCGGGGAGCAAACAGGAUUAGAUACCCUAGUAGUCC